GCAUGUUUGGUUCAGUGGUUUGUGUGCUUGGUUCAAGAACUAGAGGUUUGGGGUUUGAUUCCCCCAGCUAGCU